UACGUAGGGGGGCAAGCGUUGUCCGGAAUUAUUGGGCGUAAAGCGCGCGCAGGCGGUCAAUUAAGUCUGGUGUAUAAACCAAGGGCUCAACCUUUGGACGCAUUGGAAACUGGUUGACUGGAGUGUAGGAGAGGAAAGUGGAAUUCCACGUGUAGCGGUGAAAUGCGCAGAUAUCAGGAGGAACACCGGUGGCGAAGGCGGCGACCUGGUUCGAUACUGACGCUGAGGCGCGAAAGCGUGGGGAGCAAACAGG
rnacentral:rRNA from 1 species